rnacentral:piRNA from 1 species
UGUACUAAAAUUAUUUCUGUAUU